rnacentral:tRNA from 1 species
GAGGGUAUAGCUCAGUGGUAGAAUGAGUGCUUAGCAUGCACAAGGUCCUGGGUUCAAUCCCUAGUACCUCCA